GCCGGGCACGGUGGCUCACACCUGUAAUCCCAGCACUUUGGGAAGCUGAGGCAGGCAGAUCACGAGGUCAGGAGAUCGAGACCAUCCUAGCUAAGACCGUGAAACCCUGUCUCUACUAAAAAUACAAAAACUUAGCCAGGCAUGGUGGUGGGCGCCUGUAGUCCCAGCUACUCUGGUGGCUGAGGCAGGAGAAUGGUGUGAACCUGGGAGGUGGAGCUUGCNNNNNNNNNNGCAAGCUCCACCUCCCAGGUUCACACCAUUCUCCUGCCUCAGCCACCAGAGUAGCUGGGACUACAGGCACCCGCCACCAUGCCUGGCUAAGUUUUUGUAUUUUUAGUAGAGACAGGGUUUCACGGUCUUAGCUAGGAUGGUCUCGAUCUCCUGACCUCGUGAUCUGCCUGCCUCAGU
rnacentral:SRP_RNA from 1 species